GCUUAACACAUGCAAGUCGAGGGGCAGCGCAGUGUAGCAAUACAUGGGCGGCGACCGGCGCACGGGUGCGUAACGCGUAUCCAACCUUCCCGAUACUUAGGGAUAGCCUUCCGAAAGGGAGAUUAAUACCUGAUGGUGUUUCAAUUCCGCAUGUUAAUGAAACUAAAGAUUUAUCGGUAUCGGAUGGGGAUGCGUUCCAUUAGCUUGUUGGCGGGGCAACGGCCCACCAAGGCGACGAUGGAUAGGGGUUCUGAGAGGAAGGUCCCCCACACUGGAACUGAGACACGGUCCAGACUCCUACGGGAGGCAGCAGUGAGGAAUAUUGGUCAAUGGCCGGGAGGCUGAACCAGCCAAGUAGCGUGAAGGAUGAAGGUUCUAUGGAUUGUAAACUUCUUUUAUACGGGAAUAAAACCUCCCACGUGUGGGAGCUUGUAUGUACCGUAUGAAUAAGCAUCGGCUAACUCCGUGCCAGCAGCCGCGGUAAUACGGAGGAUGCGAGCGUUAUCCGGAUUUAUUGGGUUUAAAGGGAGCGUAGACGGGAGAUUAAGUCAGUUGUGAAAGGCUGCGGCUCAACCGCAGCACUGCAGUUGAUACUGUCGUCCUUGAGUGCGGUUGAGGUGCGUGGAAUUCGUGGUGUAGCGGUGAAAUGCUUAGAUAUCACGAA
rnacentral:rRNA from 1 species